CCCUCGGUGGGGUGCGACGACGCGCGGUCCGUGUCCAGGUCGCCGAGGACCGCGUCGAGCCACUGGCGAGACCGACCCGCUCAGGC
rnacentral:ncRNA from 1 species